AUAAGAGACUUUUACCAGUGCGUAAAGUAGCCAAAGAAACAUUACCACACCGUGAGUUAGUGUCCAGUCUAACCUUAGCACAACACUAUGUCAUACCUUAAAAGGUUAUGGAAAGCCAUACACUGGUCAGGAAAUGUUUGUUUAGUCUUCGUUUCUUUCUAAACACUAACAAGACUGAUUCUUUUUUCAACCACAAUCCCCAACGAUUAGAUAAAACCAAGACUCACCCCAAAGAGUUCUGAAAGAUCAGGGUUGAAAUAAGUUAAAUUAAUUACCAAAGGGGCCUGUUUCUAACACAUGACUUGAGUAGGGAUUUGGGUUUCAGUUGGCUGAGUGCUUGUCUGGGCCAGUUCCGGGGGAACUCAUGCGACCACAUUCCUGUCAGUACUACUCAGUAGUUCCCAUGACCCAACAGCUCUACGCUGUGAUGUGGCACCUAAAAGGCCGCAGGGAGAAAGAGUUAUCCAGCGUUGUCCGUGC